rnacentral:rRNA from 1 species
UGGGGAAUAUUGGACAAUGGGCGAAAGCCUGAUCCAGCCAUUCCGCGUGUGUGAAGAAGGUCUUCGGAUUGUAAAGCACUUUAAGCUGGGAGGAAGGGCAGUAAGCGAAUACCUUGCUGUUUUGACGUUACCGACAGAAUAAGCACCGGCUAACUCUGUGCCAGCAGCCGCGGUAAUACAGAGGGUGCAAGCGUUAAUCGGAAUUACUGGGCGUAAAGCGCGCGUAGGUGGUUCGUUAAGUUGAAUGUGAAAGCCCCGGGCUCAACCUGGGAACUGCAUCCAAAACUGGCGAGCUAGAGUAGGGCAGAGGGUGGUGGAAUUUCCUGUGUAGCGGUGAAAUGCGUAGAUAUAGGAAGGAACACCAGUGGCGAAGGCGACCACCUGGGCUCAUACUGACACUGAGGUGCGAAAGCGUGGGGAGCAAACAGG